rnacentral:rRNA from 1 species
CCUACGGGAGGCAGCAGUGGGGAAUAUUGGACAAUGGGCGAAAGCCUGAUCCAGCAAUACCGCGUGUGUGAAGAAGGCCUUCGGGUUGUAAAGCACUUUAAGCAGGGAAGAAAAAAUUCAAGCUAACAUCUUGAGUCUUGACGGUACCUGAAGAAUAAGCACCGGCUAACUCUGUGCCAGCAGCCGCGGUAAUACAGAGGGUGCAAGCGUUAAUCGGAUUUACUGGGCGUAAAGCGUGUGUAGGUGGUUGGGAAAGUCAAUUGUGAAAGCCCCGGGCUCAACUCGGGAACUGCUUUUGAUACUGUCUGACUAGAAUUCGGUAGAGGGAGGCGGAACUCCAGGUGUAGCGGUGAAAUGCGUAGAUAUCUGGAAGAACACCAAUGGCGAAGGCAACCUCCUGGGCCUGAAUUGACACUGAGACACGAAAGCGUAGGGGAUCAAACAGGAUUAGAUACCCUGGUAGUCCACGCCGUAAACGAUGACAACUUGACGUCGGUUUGCUCUGCGAAUCGGUGUCGUAGCUAACGCGAUAAGUUGUCCGCCUGGGGAGUACGGCCGCAAGGUUGAAACUUNAAAGUUGAAUUGACGGCUUGAGACGNGCGACGACGACGACGAGGAGGAGG